AUUGAACGCUGGCGGCAUGCCUUACACAUGCAAGUCGAACGGUAACGGGCCUUCGGGUGCCGACGAGUGGCGAACGGGUGAGUAAUACAUCGGAACGUGCCCGAUCGUGGGGGAUAACGAGGCGAAAGCUUUGCUAAUACCGCAUACGAUCUACGGAUGAAAGCAGGGGACCGCAAGGCCUUGCGCGGACGGAGCGGCCGAUGGCAGAUUAGGUAGUUGGUGGGAUAAAAGCUUACCAAGGCGACGAUCUGUAGCUGGUCUGAGAGGAUGAUCAGCCACACUGGGACUGAGACACGGCCCAGACUCCUACGGGAGGCAGCAGUGGGGAAUUUUGGACAAUGGGCGCAAGCCUGAUCCAGCCAUGCCGCGUGCAGGAUGAAGGCCUUCGGGUUGUAAACUGCUUUUGUACGGAACGAAAAGCCUUCUUUUAAUACAGGAGGGUCAUGACGGUACCGUAAGAAUAAGCUCCGGCUAACUACGUG
rnacentral:rRNA from 1 species